AUCAUGUAAGCCAGUGAGGAAGCAACCACAAGACUGAUGGCUGUGUGUCCUCUCCGAGAGACCUAAAAAUGAGGAUAUAAUGCCUUAAGAGCGCAUAGAACCUGACUAGAUCAGGCCUAGAGGAACUCUUCUGGGAGCCGCAUUCUAAAGUCAAGCACGAUUGCAGUCCCUAUGACCAAGAAAAACUCUGUGAUGGAGACUUGAGUUAUCCCUUCUUUCAUGUGAUGCCAGCUUGCCAAGCCCAACUAUUUUGCCCACCCCAAGACCGGAGUUGGAUUGCAAUGCUGAACGGUCGAUUGAAAACCAAGUUUAGACGUCUUCAACGGCACCAGCAGCAGUAGCAAGCGAAAUCUUUUUGGACGUUUGCCGCAGUCACACAGGCAAAGUAGUCUGUAACACAAAGGUUAGCGAUUAAUCGUACGCUUGAUUUUUCACGAUUGACGGUACACUGUAAUCAAUGGAAUCAAUCGUAGAAAAAUGCUGUAUGAUCAUUGCUAAGCUUUGUGUUGCGGGUGCCAGAUUGACCAAUUCUGUUACUAGUAUAUUAUUACCAAUGCCAUUCCAUCUACAGCAUGGAGCCUGUAUCAUUUGGGUGAUUAUUUUUAAGGUCAAGCCUAUUUGAAUUAUGACACAUUGUUGUGAUCCACUGAAUUAAACACAUUAUGAAUUAAUUACCAAGAGAUCAUGUAAGUAGCUGUUGGCUUGGCCACUCCCCCCCCCCCCCCGAUAUAUUGUGCUGAUUGAAUGAACAAACCACAUCAGUAUUAUUGAUGUAAUGUGAAGCGAUGGUUUGACCCAUUCAUGCCCCCACCCUACAAGUAAAAAUGCACCUUUACCCAGGCACUUUUGAGUUAUUACCUGCUUUAAUAAUUCAUUACCUGCCCAGUUUCAAAGUUAUGACACGCCUCCUAUUUCGGAGACACAGGACACACCCCCUCCACCUCCUUUUAUAAGAGGACAAACUAGGACCACCCCCUUCCACACACCCACACACACACUAUUCAUGCCUACUUCCUGCAAUAACCCCUUGAAGGAAGAAUGGGCCUCCAUGACCCCCCACACACUCCAUCCCUACCCCAUUCUAAUAGUUCCCCUCCACCCCCCCCCCCAAUCCCCCUCUGAAAAAAAAUACACACACACACACACUAUUCCUACUAUCCAGCAAUCAUAGAGCUACUGUGUUAGCUCCAUGCAGCAAUGAACCCUCGAUGUGAUAAGAGAAGAAUGGACAUACAUACCCCCCUACACACUCCACCCCUGUCCCAUUCUAAGAGUUCCCCUCCACCCCCCCCUUCUGAAAAAAAACCCCACUAUUCAUACUAUUCCUACUAUCCAGCAAUCAACCUCUUCCAGUGAUAAGAAAAGAAUAGGCCUAUACAUACCAACACAGCUAGUCAUGCACAUAAUAAAGAAAUCAGAGCUCUUCCACAAACAAACUACAGAAGACAGCAUCAAAAGACCUUGACAAUGAGCUAAUAUUUAAGAGGGGAUUUUCCCUGGAAGGAUGUCUUAAGAAGGGGGUCUGGUUUUUCGGGAGCACCCGCCCAAGGGGCUUUGUUUGCGACCCUAUUAUCACCCCAUGCCUCGUCUUGAAUGUGUACACUUGACCACUUAAUGAGCGAGCAGACAGGAGACGAGUUGAAAAUCACUGCAUUGCAUUGCAUCUUGUAAUUGCCCAGAUAACGUCUGUAAGGCCUGUUGGUCAGUGCGUCUACCAAACGAGUUAAAGGUCUAGGGGUUCAAACCCAAGGCAGGUGAAUGAAGCUUGUGUGGCGUUAACUUAUCCCAUGGACCUAUAGGUCCAUGCUUAUCCCUAAUUCCUUCUCCUUUGGCAAAAGAAAAAAUGACAACCCAAAGAUGUUAAAUGAAGGUCCAAAAUCGAAAAGCCUCCUCUAACAUUGUGGCCUUUCGGUCAGUGACUGCCAGAUGAAAACAUAAGGUGUCGGAUUCAAACCGCAAGAUAGAUAAAUGAACGAAGCUUUAAUGGUGCCUGUAUAUCCUUAAUCAAAUUGUGACAGAAGGAAAGCCACCAAUUGGGCGGUGGGUUUCCUUAUAGUCCCAUGUAGCAAAGACUUUCCUACGAGGCCAGUUGGUCAGUGGGUCUGCCAUUCAGGUCAGAAAACUAGGGUUCAAGUCUGAUCCAGACAGACACACCCCUAGGCACUUCACUUUCCAGUAACCAGAUCGGGGGGGGGGGGGGGUUUCAUAAAGCUGUUCGUAAGUUUAGAGCAACUUAAAGAACGACUGGUGAACCUUUCUUACGUGCUAACCCAUCGCAAUGAACAUUUUGGUGUAUACCAUUUCGCACAAGAAAGGAUCACCAGUCGUUCUUAAAGUCGCUCUUAACUUACAGACAGCUUUAUGAAACACACUCCAGGUUGUUAAAUUGAGGUCCAAAAUAGAGAAUACUUUUCUGUGAGGCCUCAGGACUGUUGGUGGAUGGGUCUGCCAGACGAGUCAGAAAUCUGGGAUUCAAAUCCAACCCCGGCAGAUGCAAUAUUAAAGCUUGUAUCAAUAACCUUACAUGGGUCAUGUCCAGUUGAAAACACUAAAUCCCAUGGAUAGGGUAUUAAAUUCCCUUUCCCUUUUUAGCUGCUAUUACUCAAGCAUUUCUUUUGCCUAUAUAGUUUGCCACUGGAUUUUUUCAUUAUCUUAUGCUUACAGUUGUAUUUAUGUCAAAAAAAAAAUUUAUUUCUCCUCCGUUACACAUUUGUCACAUUGCAAUGUAAGUUAUCGUCAUAUUACGAUUAUGUUUAUGUAUUGUAAAUUUAUUUUGACUUUGCAAUAAAUGCAGAAACUCCUGCAAAACAAAAUAUUGUCCCCCUACUCCUGCUCCUCUCUAUCUCUCUCCCUUUCUCAGUACCAAUUUAAGGACAUGGGAAGCGUUUGCCCCCUCUCCUUUAAAAAUUGCUGUGGCCACUGCCCAUUCUUUCCUCCUCAUAAUCUAUCUAAUUCAUCUAUCUAUCUCUCUCUCUCUCUCCUAUCUUCUCCUCUCUCCAUCUCUCUCACCUUUUUAUAUUUACUCUAUUCAACCAUGGCUGCGUUUAUGCGACCUCAAGCCAGAAUCAUGAUUUGAAUCAUGAUUUGAAUCAUGAUUCAAAACACAAACAUGAAUCACAAUAUCACAGAAUCAGCGUUUAGACGACCUUCAUUCCAAUGCUGUUUCUCCUCAGAUUCGGGCCAAUCCAGUGUGCAUCACUAGUGCGCAGUUUGACAGAGGACGUUUUUCGCACGUGUUUCGGCUCUCGAAAAUUCUUUUGCUUCCAUCAGAAUUCAGUCUAUACCUCAUUUUGUUUACUUCUAUCAUAAAGGGUCCAUAUGCUUCUAUUCAUCUUGUUAGUUUAUCCAAAAUGGUGUUCGGAAGUGAAUUUCAGCGUAGAUCCAAUUUGAUAUUGAUACUGUAUACUCAACAACAACUGAGAUCAUUGUCUGUCCAGUUAAUUCAUUUACUAGAACUUGAAGUUGAAGACAUGACCAAAAAAUGAAAAGUAGUGGACGAUGCGAUGACCAACACAGAACUUGAACAUGACAAGAAAUGAAUUCAUAGUCAUGUACAUACAAUGAGCAUAUAGAGCGCCUUGAGCUUGGCAAGAGCAUGGACCUAUUACGUAAUAGGUCCAUGGCAAGAGUCAAACCGAAAGUAGCCCGACACAACAGUGAGGUCAUAUAAUCAUGAUUGUAAUCACGAUAUCGUUUAUUCGAACAUUUUCGUACGUGAUUCUGCAGAAACGUCUUUCCAAACGCCCCUUUUUUCGUGUUUCAUGUUUGUGAUUCUAAUCAUGAUUAUAUUCAAUUUCGACUAAACGCAAUCGUGAUUCUGCAGAAUCAUGAUUUGAAUCAUGAUUCAAAUCAUGAUUCUAGGGUAAAAAAGUGGCGGAUAAACGCACCCUUAUUUAGUAAGCUCAUCUGUUUUCUCACUUUCCCUCUCCCCUCCCAUCCCGAGCUAUGUCUCCCUCUUUAUUUUCUUUCACUCCAGAAUUGAAGUGUCCUGUUAGACAAUAAAUUAAAUCUGGAGACUUUACACUUCAGAUCUUGUAAAUCUUGCUCCCAAAGAAAAUCCCCCAAAAUGUGAAGGGUUUCUUUUCUCUUUGCUUAUUGGCCUAAGCACAUUCUCUGAAAAGGAGAGAAGACUUUCAGGAGUUGGAGAGUUUUAUGUGUGUGUUCUUUAGAGCCUACUCUAUGGUUUUCAUUUAAAGGGAAAGUCUAGCCCCCCCCAAAAAAAAAAUUAAUAAUUAUGAUAAAUGGCAUGGGUGAACGCUUAAAGUUUUAGCAAUUCUAGAUUUGCCCCUCCCCUUUCCCUUCCCCCGUAUGUGUCACAAUAUAGCUUAUGUUACCAGAAAAAUAAGAAAUUAAGAACAUUUUUGAACGAUACAUCAACUCAUGUAAUUAAAAAUGUACAAUGAUUUGAUUCAUUUGAAAUUGCUCACGUAUUACAUGAAUAAAUUCAUGAAAUAAAAGGGAGAAUGAAUGAUUUAUUUCGUUUGAUUCGUAAUUACUGUAGCCUCCGUACAAGAAUUUCUUUUGUUAGUGCAGUAGGUCCAUGGUUAGUGUGAUAGUGAGUAGGGCAAUGCCAUAUAGUGUAUACAUGUACAUUAUGUACAUCUGACUUUCCUACAUUUUGGACCAUUCUGAAAUGAUUUCUCAUUUCUUUAUAGUUAUGAUGUGGGUGCAUCGUGGUCUAGUGGUUAAGACUCUCGUCGUUCAAUGUGAGAGGCGUGGGUUCGAUUCCCAGCCAUGUUUUCUGUCAGCAAGAAAUUUACCCACAUUGUGCUGCACUCAACCCGGGUGGGGUAAAUGGGUACCCGGAGGAAGUAAUUCCUCAAAAAGCUCUGAGCACCGGAAUCGGUAGACUUGCUUAGCCGGGGUAAUAGGAGCGCCUUGAGCACCUAGCAAGGUGGAAACGUGCACUAUACAAAUCCUGUAUUAUUAUGUAAGAUGAUGUAAUGGUCAUGUUCUUCAAUUUUGGUUUGAGCCGUUCAUGAAGUGAGCAUGGAGGUCAGAUAUUCAAAAAUUUAAUGAGGAUGAUUAUUCAUAAAAGUGCCCCAAAAUGAGUGAUAUGAUUUUACUUUUUGAAGGACGGUCUUGGCCUUUAAUUCUAGAACCAUGAAUCACCCCAUCCCAGCUAAAGUUGGACCAACAAAAAUCCUUAGUCCUAAUGAGGGCCUAAACCUGUAGCCAAACACUCACUUGGAGAAGAUCAACAUUUUUCUCAAAUUGGAUUUUGCUCUUCAGUCCAAAGAGGCCGUGGGAAGGGGGAGGUGGUGGGGGCUUUCGCCUAUUGUUCCAAGAAAUUCAUUAUCAUUGUCAUUUUGUGGUAGUCUAUGAAAGUUUGUAUACCCCUCUAGUACGAUGAGUCUAUUGCCAAUGCCAUACAGGUUUGUGUAUUGAUUGGGAAAAGGAAUGGGUUUAUACAUAAAUUUCAAGGAAUGAAAAUUAUAUCUAAAUUAUUAUUUUACCUGUUGUCCUGGAAACAUGUAAUUUAAGAAUGGUUGGACAAGGCCAAGAAAUCAGAUUAAAUGAGGGAUGCAUCCUUGAUGAAAGGAAAUUAUUCACAUUAUAUCGUUUGAUAUCGGUAUUAAAAAUUUGUUUAUUAUUAAAUAUUUGUUUAGUAUAUUUUUAACUGCUAUGCUUCAAGCUGCUAUGCUUCAAGCAUAUAUUUGCUUAUAUAGUUUGCCUCUGCAUUUUACUUAUUAUAUAUAUUUUUUAUUUAUUGUAUUUAUGUCUUUCUCCAGUCACUACAUAUAAGAUUGUCACUUGGUUAUGUACUUUAUGCUAUAUUAUGAUUAUGUCUCAAGCAUUGUAAAUUUGUUUUGUAUAUAUUCCAAUAAAUGCAGAAAAUCCUGCAAAAAAAA